rnacentral:rRNA from 1 species
CCUCGGGUGGCAGCAGUGGGGAAUAUUGCGCAAUGGGCGAAAGCCUGACGCAGCGACGCCGCGUGAGGGAUGAAGGUCUUCGGAUCGUAAACCUCUGUCAGCAGGGAAGAACGGUCACUGUGCUAAUCAGCAGUGAAUUGUCGGUACCUGCAAAGGAAGCACCGGCUAACUCCGUGCCAGCAGCCGCGGUAAUACGGAGGAUGCGAGCGUUAUCCGGAUUUAUUGGGUUUAAAGGGUGCGCAGGCGGAAGAUCAAGUCAGCGGUAAAAUGGAGAGGCUCAACCUCUUCGAGCCGUUGAAACUGGUUUUCGUGAGUGAGUGAGAAGUAUGCGGAAUGCGUGGUGUAGCGGUGAAAUGCAGAGAUAUCACGAAGAACGCCGAUUGCGAAGGCAGUUCACUGGACUGCAACUGACACUGAGGCUCGAAAGUGUGGGUAUCAAACAGGAUUAGAUACCCCUGUAGUC